GACGAACGCUGGCGGCGUGCCUAAUACAUGCAAGUCGAGCGGACCAAAGGGAGCUUGCUCCUGGAGGUUAGCGGCGAACGGGUGAGUAACACGUGGGCAACCUGCCUGUAAGACUGGGAUAACAUCGAGAAAUCGGUGCUAAUACCGGAUAAUAAAAGAACUGCAUGGUUCUUUUUGAAAGAUGGUUUCGGCUAUCACUUACAGAUGGGCCCGCGGCGCAUUAGCUAGUUGGUGAGGUAACGGCUCACCAAGGCGACGAUGCGUAGCCGACCUGAGAGGGUGAUCGGCCACACUGGGACUGAGACACGGCCCAGACUCCUACGGGAGGCAGCAGUAGGGAAUCUUCCGCAAUGGACGAAAGUCUGACGGAGCAACGCCGCGUGAGUGAUGAAGGUUUUCGGAUCGUAAAACUCUGUUGUUAGGGAAGAACAAGUGCCGUUCGAAAGGGCGGCACCUUGACGGUACCUAACGAGAAAGCCACGGNUAACACGUGCCAGCAGCGCGGUAA
rnacentral:rRNA from 1 species